CAUGGCGCCCGGGCUGGGGCCGUGGCUGCUGGCCUUGUCCUUGGCCGCGGGGCCGGCAGGUGCAUCUCAGGGUGAUGAGAUCCAGGCGACGAGGUCUACAGUGUGGUGGCGAGCAGGGAAUACCGGGACCUUACGAUGCACUUACAGCUCCAACGCCUCCUAUAUUUACGUGGCCUGGUAUCGGCAGCGUCCCGGUGGACCGCUGCAGUACUUGCUGCAGAGCAAGGGCCGAGGCGGCUCCUACAGCCACACAGCCCCUUUUGCCCGCAAGAGGUUUUCCUGCCAGGCUGACAAGAUCUCCGGGACGCUGAUCAUCACCGGGCUGGAACUGGGGGACAGUGCGCUCUAUUACUGCACCCUGCAGGGACCACAAUGAGAGACACUUGGGGCGUGCCUGACCGCCAUCAGCUUCGUCCCCUCCUGCAUGUUCA